rnacentral:rRNA from 1 species
UCCAGUCGAUGCUGCUGGAGGACACUGCUAUCGGAUUUCGGCAGCCAUGCAAGUCUGCCGGGCGGCUUCGCCUGGCGGCGUACGGCUCAGUAACGCGUGGCUAACCUAACGUAGAGAACGGAAUACCCUCGCGAAAGUGAGGCUAAUGCCGUAUAGGCCAUUGCUACUGGAAGGUGCUGUGGCUCAAAGGCUUGCGAAAUGCAGCAAGUCCGCUCUACGAUGGGGCUGCGUCAGAUCAGGCAGAUGGCGGGGUAAAGGCCCACCAUACCUGUGACCUGUAUGGGCUGUGAGAGCAGAAGCCCAGAGAAGGGCACUGAGACAAGGGCCCUAGCGCUACGGCGUGCAGCAGGCGCGAAAACUCCACAAUGCGCGAAAGCGUGAUGGGGGAAGUCCGAGUGGUAUGCUUCUAGCAUACCUUUUGCUAAGUCCAAACAACUUGGCGAAUAAGUGCUGGGUAAGUCCGGUGGCAGCCGCCACGGUAAUACCGGCGGUACGAGUGGUGUCCGCGAUUAUUGGGCUUAAAGGGCCAGUAGCCGGCUAGAACAGUCUUAUGUGAAAUGUUUGCUCUUAAAGCAAACGCGAGCAUAAGAUACCUUCUGGCUAGGGAGUGGGAGAGGUCAAGGGUACUUACGGGGUAGGGGUAAAAUCCUGUAAUCCUGUAAGGACCACCUGUGGCGAAGGCGCUUGACCAGAACACAUCCGACGGUGAGUGGCGAAGGCUAGGAGAACAAAUCGGAUUAGAUACCCGAGUAGCCCUAGCAGUAAAUUAUGCAGACUCAGGUGUUGCCAUGGCUUCGGCUAUGGCAGUACCGUAGAGAAAUUGGUAAGUCUGCCGCCUGGGGAGUACGGCCGCAAGGUUAAAACUUAAAGCAAUUGGCGGGGGAGCACCACAAGGGGUGGAUGUUCUGGUUUAAUUGAAUACAACAUCAGAAAUAUUACCUGGAGCGACGGCAGGAUGAAGGUCAGGCUAAAGACCUUACUAGACAAGCCGAGAGGUGGUGCAUGGCGAUCGUCAGCUCGUGGUGUGAACUGUCCGGUUAAGUCCGGUAAGCGUUCGAGUGAUGCUAUGAAGCAGAAACUAGGUAGGGAAAUUUACUAUAUUGCUGGCAUGCAGAGAGCGUGGAAAGGCAAAAAGCAUUCAAUAGGAAUAUGCAGCUCAAGCGAAGAAAUUAAGCAAAGGUUUGCAGAAAUAGCAAUAAAGGUGCUGGGCGUAAAAAGCGAAAAGAUAAUCAUUGAGGGCAAUUGCAUAUUCUUCUACCAUUCACGCAUAGCAAAGCAGCUGCAGAGGAUAAUAAGGAAUAGGACAAAGAUCUUCAGCAAACCAAGCGAAAGCGCGUAUAGAUACAUUGCAGGCAUAGUAGAUGCAACUGGAAAGAUAGCUAGAAACAGCAUACGCCUAAGCCUUGAUGCAGGCGAUGAGCUUGUGCUUGAGAGGAUGGGAAUACACACAAAACAAGGAU